AGCGAACGUUAGCGGCGGGCCUAACACAUGCAAGUCGAGCGAGAAAGGGGCUUCGGCCCUCAGUAAAGCGGCGGACGGGUGAGUAACACGUAGGUAAUCUUCCCUUGAGCGGGGGACAACGGUCCGAAAGGACCGCUAAUACCGCAUACGUUUCCGAGGACCUCGGUCUUUGGAAGGAAAGCUAGGCCGCAAGGUCCGGCACUCGAGGAGCAGCCUGCGUCGCAUCAGCUAGUUGGUGGGGUAAUGGCCUACCAAGGCGAAGACGCGUAGCUGGUCUGAGAGGAUGAUCAGCCACACUGGGACUGAGACACGGCCCAGACUCCUACGGGAGGCAGCAGUGGGGAAUAUUGGACAAUGGGCGCAAGCCUGAUCCAGCCACGCCGCGUGAGUGAUGAAGGCCUUCGGGUCGUAAAGCUCUGUGGGGAGGGACGAACCGCUGCGCGUGCAUAGCGCGCAGCAUGACGGUACCUCCUUAGCAAGCACCGGCUAACUUCGUGC
rnacentral:rRNA from 1 species